AGAUGGUCUAUAUGCUGGUCGUUCUUUGACGAGUGGCUUUCGGAGCUGACGCGUUAAUCCACCGCCUGGGGAGUACCGCCGCAAGGUUCUCCUCAGAUGAAUUGACGGGGGCCCGCACAAGCGGAGGAGCAUGUGGUUUAAUUCGAUGCAACGCGAAGAAUCUUACCUACUCUUGACAUCCAGAGAAGUUAACAGAGAUGCUUUUCUGCCUUCGGGAACUCUGUGCAGGUGCUGCGUGGCUGUCGUCUGCUCGUGUUGUGAAAUGUUGGGUUAAGUCCCGCAACGAGCGCAACCCUUAUCCUUUGUUGCCUACGAUUCGGUCGGGAACUCAAAGGAGACUGCCGGUGAUAAACCAGAGGAAGGUGGGGAUGACGUCAAGUCAUCAUGGCCCUUACGAGUAGGGCUACACACGUGCUACAAUGGCGUAUACAAAGAGAAGCGACCUCGCGAGAGCAAGCGGAACUCAUGGUCUACGUUCUAAUCCGGAUUGGAGUCUGCACCUCGACUCCAUGAAAUCGGAAUCGCUAGUAAUCGUAGAUCAAAAUGCUACAGUGAAUACCUUCCCUGGUCUUGUACACACCGCCCGUCACGCCAUGCGAGUGUGUUGCAAAACAAGUACGUAGCUGAACCUUCGGGAGGGCGCUUACCACUUUGUGAUUCAUGAUGGGGGGGAGUCAACAGGGGGACAAAA
rnacentral:rRNA from 1 species